GAGUGACUUGCUGAAGACGUCACACGAAACAGCUUGAGGCCCCCUUGGAAGGUGCACCAGGCUGCGAGUCAGGGAGGAAGCGGUCUCUCCAGGGUCCACGGAUGGUUCCAGAAACUUUUUCUUCCUGGGAACUUCUCUGAGCCGGUCAGUGUCGUGGGUGCAGAGACUCAGAGUGGACAGCAGAAAGGCCGUGCCCCGACCGCGGCGCCCGUGGAGGGAGAGAGGACGCUGUUUCCAUUCUGUGGGCCUUUCCACGUGCCCAGCCUGGCGUGAGCCCUUUGCAAAAGCGGCCACAUUCAGUCCCGUUGACAAGUGUCCAGGUGAGACCACAGCCCUCAUUUGC
rnacentral:lncRNA from 1 species